CGUAGCUCAGUUGGCAGAGCGGUGGACUGUAGAAGGACUAUAUCAGUACCAGUUAUCCAUCGGUCACUGGUUCGAUUCCGGUC
rnacentral:ncRNA from 14 species